GGACCCGCACAAGUAGUGGAGCAUGUGGUUUAAUUCGAAGAUACGCGCAGAACCUUACCAACACUUGACAUGUUCGUCGCGACUUUAAGAGAUUAAAGUUUUCGGUUCGGCCGGACGAAACACAGGUGCUGCAUGGCUGUCGUCAGCUCGUGUCGUGAGAUGUUGGGUUAAGUCCCGCAACGAGCGCAACCCUCACUUUUAGUUGCCAUCAUUUAGUUGGGCACUCUGAAAGAACUGCCAGUGAUAAGCUGGAGGAAGGUGGGGAUGACGUCAAGUCCUCAUGGCCCUUACGUGUUGGGCUACACACGUGCUACAAUGGCAUCUACAAUAGGAAGCAAGAUGGCGACAUCAAGCAAAUCCUAAAAAGAUGCCUCAGUUCGGAUUGCACUCUGCAACUCGAGUGCAUGAAGCUGGAAUUACUAGUAAUCG
rnacentral:rRNA from 1 species